CAGUAGCCACGGUAAUACAGAGGGUGCGAGCGUUAAUCGGAUUUACUGGGCGUAAAGCGUGCGUAGGCGGCUUUUUAAGUCGGAUGUGAAAUCCCUGAGCUUAACUUAGGAAUUGCAUUCGAUACUGGGAAGCUAGAGUAUGGGAGAGGAUGGUAGAAUUCCAGGUGUAGCGGUGAAAUGCGUAGAGAUCUGGAGGAAUACCGAUGGCGAAGGCAGCCAUCUGGCCUAAUACUGACGCUGAGGUACGAAAGCAUGGGGAGCAAACAGGAUUAGAUACCCCCGUAGUCCCUGUCUUUAUACA
rnacentral:rRNA from 1 species